UUUGACUAGGCCAUGCUGACAUUCCAGUUCUGUGUGAUUCAUCCUCAUUCCUGUCCUGGUUGAUCUGCAGGUUCAUCUCUUAUGAUGGAUUCAAAUGGGCUCAAUAAUAAUGAUUGAAAAUCCAUUUUGUUAUUGAUGACACGUUUCAUGUUGUGCUGAUCAAUAUAUAAAUAUGAGGUUUUAUCAUCACUGUUUGGAUGGCAGUGAGAGGCUAACAACACGUUAGCAUCGCUAUGCUAACGCUAAAGUUAGCCUCAGGAGAAUACCAUAACAACCUGUUAAAGGUCACAGUGUUAAAGGUCAGACAGUGUUAAAGGUCAGAUAGUGUUAAAGGUCACAGUGUUAAAGGUCACAGUGUUAAAGGUCACAGUGUUAAAGGUCACCGUGUUAAAGGUCAGACAGUGUUAAAGGUCACAGUGUUAAAGGUCAGACAGUGUUAAAGGUCACAGUGUUAAAGGUCACAGUGUUAAAGGUCACCGUGUUAAAGGUCAGACAGUGUUAAAGGUCAUAGUGUUUAAGGUCACAGUGUUAAAGGUCACAGUGUUAAAGGUCAGACAGUGUUAAAGGUCACAGUGUUAAAGGUCAGACAGUGUUAAAGGUCACAGUGUUAAAGGUCACAGUGUUAAAGGUCAGACAGUGUUAAAGGUCACAGUGUUAAAGGUCAGACAGUGUUAAAGGUCACAGUGUUAAAGGUCAGACAGUGUUAAAGGUCACAGUGUUAAAGGUCACAGUGUUAAAGGUCACAGUGUUAAAGGUCACCGUGUUAAAGGUCAGACAGUGUUAAAGGUCACAGUGUUAAAGGUCAGACAGUGUUAAAGGUCAUAGUGUUUAAGGUCACAGUGUUAAAGGUCACAGUGUUAAAGGUCAGACAGUGUUAAAGGUCACAGUGUUAAAGGUCAGACAGUGUUAAAGGUCACAGUGUUAAAGGUCACAGUGUUAAAGGUCAGACAGUGUUAAAGGUCACAGUGUUAAAGGUCAGACAGUGUUAAAGGUCACAGUGUUAAAGGUCACAGUGUUAAAGGUCACCGUGUUAAAGGUCAGACAGUGUUAAAGGUCACAGUGUUAAAGGUCACAGUGUUAAAGGUCAGACAGUGUUAAAGGUCAGACAGUGUUAAAGGUCAGACAGUGUUGAAGGUCACAGCUCAUGUCCCAGUAUUUACAGAUGAUCAGCAGAUUCUCUGUCAUUCUGUUGUCAUUUUUACACGUUUCCAUUUUAUUUCUUGUUUUUUAUUCAUAUUUAAAGUUUCCAUCGAUCAGCAACGUUUACAAAUUCAAAUCUAUUGAUUAAUUGAGCUUCAUGUUAAUAAAUUGCCAAUUGGUCUCAGAACAAUAAUCAAUGAUCCAGUGAAGGUCUCUGUGUCCGGAUGAUGUUGCAGAACCAAACCCGGCUCAACCAGAACCAGAACCUCCCCGACCCAGUAGCUCUGUGUUCGGUCACAUUGAACCCGUUGGUGUGUCUGGAGGUU